rnacentral:ncRNA from 1 species
GCAAAUCCAUAGAAGCAGAGUAGUACGCCCUGUCGGUUUUCAGAAAGUUGGCGGUUGAUGCAAGCCAAUACGAAACACGGCCGAACUCGCUGCGGAGGAGCAGUUGCGAAAACAACUGACGCUGACCGGCGUUACUGGUGAGAGAGGACCGGGUUUUUCCCCGUCAAGCAGGGUGGUACCGCGUGCAAAUCGUCCCUGGC